rnacentral:rRNA from 1 species
GACGAACGCUGGCGGCGUGCUUAACACAUGCAAGUCGAACGCUGAAGCUCAGCUUUUGUUGGGUGGAUGAGUGGCGAACGGGUGAGUAACACGUGAGUAACCUGCCUCCUUCUUUGGGAUAACGCCCGGAAACGGGUGCUAAUACUGGAUAUUCACUGGUCUUCGCAUGGGGGUUGGUGGAAAGGGUUUUUCUGGUGGGGGAUGGGCUCGCGGCCUAUCAGCUUGUUGGUGGGGUGAUGGCCUACCAAGGCUUUGACGGGUAGCCGGCCUGAGAGGGUGACCGGUCACAUUGGGACGGAGAUACGGCCCAGACUCCUACGGGAGGCAGCAGUGGGGAAUAAUGCACAAUGGGCGCAAGCCUGAUGCAGCGACGCCGCGUGAGGGAUGGAGGCCUUCGGGUUGUGAACCUCUUUCGCUCAUGGUCAAGCCGCAACAAUGGUUGUGGUGAGGGUAGUGGGUAAAGAGGCGCCGGCUAACUACGUG